rnacentral:pre_miRNA from 9 species
UCUCGAUAGCGUAAAAGUUAACUCAUAUUUGUAUGGAGUUGGCAUGUUUGCCUACGUUUGCCGCUAGGGGCGCUGUUCCAACUCCAUACACAUAUGAGUUAACUUUUACGCUAUCGA